GGAGGAUCUUGUUCAGUCUGGUGGCUUGUACUUUCGCGUAUAGUUUGGUAUCUGUAUUUAGAAGUGAUAUUGGCCAAAUAUUUUGGCUCUAUGUGGGUGGUUUUCCUUGUUUUGGAUAGCGUAACGAUGUGGGCUUCUAGCAUGUCUUCGGGUACUUCUGCCUUAAGGGUUUUACCACUGAAUAAUGUAGUUAGGUAGGGAGCUAAUGUUUCCGCAAACUUUUUAUAGUAGGUGUUGGAGAAUCCAUCCGGAUCAGGGACUUUCCAAGCUCGGAAGAUGUGAGAAGGCCAGAAGCACCUUCUAAUCUGAAAUGUGUGCUUGUAGGACUUCU